rnacentral:rRNA from 1 species
UAGUCCACGCCGUAAACGAUGUGUGCUAGUUGUCAGACCCAAAGGGUUUGGUGACGGAGAGAAAUCAUUAAGCACACCGCCUGGGGAGUACGGCCGCAAGGUUAAAACUCAAAGGAAUUGACGGGGACCCGCACAAGCGGUGGAGCAUGUUGUUUAAUUCGAAGCAACGCGAAGAACCUUACCCACACUUAACUAUCCUCCUGGGACUUUCAGAGAUGAUUGUCUUCGGUUCGGCCGGGGAGUGAAUAGGUGCUGCAUGGCUGUCGUCAGCUCGUGUCGUGAGAUGUUCGGUUAAGUCCGGUAACGAGCGCAACCCUUAUCGUAUGUUGCCAUCAUUCAGUUGGGCACUCAUGCGAGACUGCCGGUGAUAAGCCGGAGGAAGGCGGGGACGACGUCAAGUCAUCAUGGCCCUUACGUGUGGGGCUACAAACGUGCUACAAUGGCAGUGACAAUGGGCAGCUACCUCGCGAGGGGACGCUAAUCUCAAAAAACUGUCUCAGUUCGGAUUGUU